GAUGAAUGCUAGCGGCAGGCCUAAUACAUGCAAGUCGAACGAGAUUUAUGACUUCGGUUAUAAUGAAAGUGGCGCACGGGUGCGUAACGCGUAUGCAACCUACCCUUAACUGGGGGAUAGCCCGGAGAAAUUCGGAUUAAUACCCCAUAGUAUUACAGAUUGGCAUCAUGAAGUAAUUAAAGAUUUAUUGGUUAAGGAUGGGCAUGCGUGACAUUAGUUAGUUGGUAAGGUAAUGGCUUACCAAGACGAUGAUGUCUAGGGGUUCUGAGAGGAUGAUCCCCCACACUGGUACUGAGAUACGGACCAG
rnacentral:rRNA from 1 species